rnacentral:rRNA from 1 species
CCUACGGGCGGCUGCAGUGGGGAAUAUUGGGCAAUGGGCGCAAGCCUGACCCAGCAACGCCGCGUGAAGGAAGAAGGCUUUCGGGUUGUAAACUUCUUUCAAGGGGGAAGAGCAGAAGACGGUACCCCUUGAAUAAGCCACGUCUCACUACGUGCCAGCAGCCGCGGUAAUACGUAGGUGGCAAGCAUUGUCCGGAUUUACUGGGUGUAAAGGGCGUGCAGCCGGAGAGACAAGUCAGAUGUGAAAGCAACGGGCUCAACCCGUGGACUGCAUUUGAAACUGUGUCCCUUGAGUGUCGGAGAGGUAAGCGGAAGUCCUUGUGUAGCGGUGAAAGGCGUAGAUAUAAGGAAGAACACCAGUGGCGAAGGCGGAUUACUGGACGAUAACUGACGGUGAGGCGCGAAAGCGUGGGGAGCAAACAGGAUUAGAUACCCUUGUAGUC